rnacentral:misc_RNA from 1 species
GUGAGUCAUCGAAUCUUUGAACGCACAUUGCGCCCUUUGGUAUUCCGAAGGGCAUGCCCGUUCGAGCGUCAUUUCACCAAUCAAGCCUGGCUUGGUGUUGGGCCGCGGGGAGACCCGGGCCCCAAAGUUCGCCGGCCGACCGCCCCUGAUCUCAGCGUUGUAGCAUCGAGACUCGCGGAGAAUGAUGGGGCGGACGCGCCGUGACAAAACCUCAUCGAUAGAAGGUUGACCUCGGAUCGGGUAGGGAUACCCGCUGAACUUAAGCAUAUCAAUAAGCGGAGGA